AGGGACUUAGGUUAAAUACUAGACCAAGAGCCUUCAAAGCCCUCAGAGGGAGUGGAACCCUCCCAGCCCCUG
rnacentral:tRNA from 1 species